GGUGUCUGGAGACUUGAAGUUUCUCCUUCUCAAAGAAGGUGACAGUGGAAUAAGAAACCACACUGAAACUCUAGGAUGAAACUUCCUUUAUACUCUUUAAUGAACCUUUGGGUAAAAUGGCAUUAAAGACAUAUUGAGUAUCACCAUACCUGAU
rnacentral:lncRNA from 1 species